CGGCAACAGGGUGUAGGUGGAGAACAGAGUGAAGAAGACAUACCAGGAGUGAUCGGUUUCAGCCCAGCUGAAAACACCGACCAACACCUGGACAGUCUGAGACACCCAGGCCACAGACCCCCGCCCACAGAACGAGCGACAGGCCAGUCAGCCAGUCACAAGCCAUCGCCCCCCAGCCUGUUGGCCACAUUACCAGAGAGAUGAACAGUCGGAUGAAGAUGUCAAUGAGGUUGGUGACAACCAGAGAGGUUCUUCGCUGAGCUGAGGAGAACUGCUGCUGCAUGGUAGGAAUGAAGACGCCUCGGAUCGUCGAUCCGUACGACACAAAGAAGUCGGCAUCGGCCGCCAGCGAGCCUCAGAGAGUACAGGUUGUGCUGGUCGAUGAUGUUCCUGACGGCGGUCUGCCACAGCAGACGUUUCCUUCGUAGACCUUGGGCGGGGCUGAUGUUCGCACUGAAGCAGAGGCCUCCAUUGACGCUGUCAGUGCUGAUGAAGCAGAUGGUGUUAAUCUAAUGCCAGGUGAGGCCAGCGCCAUGCUGUACUUCAACUUCCUGUUGAUUCAACCAUGUAAAAGUAUCCAGAACCAUUAAAGAGGAUUGCUGCUUUACACCAAACUGAAGGUAGACCUUCUGGAUUAAAUUGGCUCAAUGGGAACAAAUCAGUAGGUAAGAAAAGGUAAAGGGUUUUAUUGAAUCCUCUGAAGAUUAGUUUAUAGGAUGAAAAACUGAACGGAGUCAUAGUUGUACUCACUGGUUGCAGAAUUGAUUUGAUCAUCUCCAGUAAGGACUCUGGUUUGUCUUUGUCCUGUUUUUGUUUCCUUGCUGCUUCCUUGUUCAUCUCAGGUCCAUCAACUCCAUCUUGUUCAGCUCAUCAUGGUUUAUUCAGGAAACAAACACACUUUCCAAGCUCCUCAUUUCUUCAUGAAGGUUUCGUCAGCAGGAAGCGUCCAGUCUUCAUGGUGUCGGUGAGUAAAGACGGACGGUACUCUCGGGUCACAACCAGAACCUGUAGCUCCUGAACUGCAGGUCUGAGUGAGGCGCAGCAGCUUGGUGUAAUGAGCUGAAGUUGACCAGCAGAUGUCCCAGUGCUGCACUAAUCCCAUCAGGAACCCCUCGAAUGGACAAAAGGCGGCUCAUUAAUCGGCCAGAUUAAGCAUGUGGCUGUGUCUGACCGUUCAGGUGCCUGAUGGGAUUGGCAGGCCUCCAACCAGGCCAGGUUGUGUUUGUGUGCUCGGGUUGUGUGACCAUGUUGACGGCAACUUCACAGAUGGACAGAAACCUGAGAAGAUGGACUGUAAGUAUCUGAUCAGGGAGCUAAAAAUGGAUCCACUGAUGUAGGUUUAGUGUGCUGCCACCUGGUGGCGAAACCUCUUCACUGUAUUUAAUGUCCAGACUGGAUGUGAAGUAAUGAAGGUAUUUCCUGGUAAUCAUCCAUAUCAGGACUUAUUUCACUUUAUAAAUCACAAAUAUAACUAAAAACCUGGAGAAAAAAAACAAAUUCAGUGGAAUUAGAAAAAUGAAACAAUGAAUCAGUUUGAUUGAACAUGUGGAAGCUCAGGCUGAUUUUAUUCAUUCCUGUGGACACAAACAUGUAAAAAUAUAAAACUGGAUUAAUAACAUGUAUCCAUGCCAGCUGUCAUCAAACAGUCGACCUGAUAAAAGUCCGUAAACAGUCACAGAUGGUUCUGUUGGAUCCUUCAUGUAAACCUUCAGGGGGAAACAUGACGACCGUUUCUAUGGCAACGUAAGGGAAGAAAGUCCAGCUAAAACUGAACAAUAAAGGACAGGAUUUAACGUUUGGCAGUGGAAAUAAGGAGAAUUUAGAGGCUGAUUCUCAUCAUUUCACUGGAAAAUAAAAUAUUAAUUUAAAUAUUCUGGUAAACCUCUGCAAAAAAACAUCCAAAUAGUUUCAGAGAAAUGUUUUCUAAUCACUAAACUUGCAAAUUAAACCAACUAAACCAAGAUUUCAGAUAAAAUGAUGAAAAUUGUUGAUGAAAAUGAGUUAAUAU